rnacentral:rRNA from 1 species
UACAGAGGGUGCGAGCGUUGUCCGGAAUCACUGGGCGUAAAGGGCGCGUAGGCGGCCUGAUAAGUCGGGGGUGAAAUCCUGUGGCUCAACCACAGGGCUGCCUCCGGGACUGUCGGGCUCGAGCACAGUAGAGGCAGGUGGAAUUCCCGGUGUAGCGGUGAAAUGCGUAGAUAUCGGGAGGAAUACCAGUGGCGAAGGCGGCCUUCUGGACGGAUACUGACGCUGAGGCGCGAAAGCCAGGGGAGCAAACGGG